rnacentral:RNase_P_RNA from 1 species
AACAGAGAGCAAACCGCCGAUGGCCCACGCAAGUGGGAUCAGGUAAGGGUGAAAGGGUGCGGUAAGAGCGCACCGCGCGGCUGGUAACAGUCCGUGGCACGGUAAACUCCACCCGGAGCAAGGCCAAAUAGGGGUUCAUAAGGUACGGCCCGUACUGAACCCGGGUAGGCUGCUUGAGCCAGUGAGCGAUUGCUGGCCUAGAUGAAUGACUGUCCACGACAGAACCCGGCUUAUCGGUCAGUUUCACCU